rnacentral:rRNA from 1 species
UACAGAGACUGCGAGCGUUAUUCGGAUUCACUGGGCGUAAAGGGUGCGCAGGCGGCCAUGUGUGUGAGGUGUGAAAGCCCGGGGCUUAACCCCGGAAUUGCACCUCAAACUACACGGCUAGAGCAUUGGAGAGGGUAGCAGAAUUCACGGUGUAGCAGUGAAAUGCGUAGAUAUCGUGAGGAAUACCAGAGGCGAAGGCGGCUACCUGGACAAUUGCUGACGCUCAGGCACGAAAGCGUGGGGAGCAAAAGGG